AUUUUCUCCCCUUCUUUCUUCUCUUUUUUGUCGCCCUCUCCCUCGCUCGCCUCUGUGCUGUGCUGGCCGGAGGUUUGGGUGUGGAUGCCAGUAGCGUUCGAGGGUGUGACCCUGCUUUUUGCAGUGGUGACACCGCUCGACGUUGGCAGGCGUCCCCCCUGCCUCGGGCUGGCUCUCCCGAGAGCGUGGCAAAGGCUCUGCCUUCAUUUUCGUGAUUGCUUGAUGCUCCCAUGGUGAUGCAUCGAGUUUCUUCUUGCUGAAGAAGAGCUAUGACAGCAUCAAGCCGAGGUAAGCUACUAGAAAGAAGAAUUUGGGACCGAAGGGCUUCGUAGCUCACAUCGAGUCCGCUGAGGUAAGAGAUUUUGCAUAUCUGGUUACUUUCUAGAUGGGACCCAAAAGGACUAUGUCAAAGAUGGAUUCUUUGACACGGAAAGAAGAGAGACUGAGACCAAGUCAGUUUCCAUACUGUAAUUGCCUACUAUUACAGUCAAUAUACAGGGGUGUCUAUCUACUAUAAGCUGCCUCUAGGAGGAUUAUAGCAAAUGGAGUUUUGGGGUGACUGGUGACACUUGGUUCUUUCUUUUCCGUCGCAGGGUUAACUUGCCCCCAGAAGAGCUGCCACUGUUAGUUGUUAGUGUCAGUGAAAGAGGGAAGGAAUAAUAUCAUAAUAGGAACACACCUAUUUAUAGUAGGAAUUAAAUCUGGGACCUUGGGCGUCUUGCCAUUAGGGCAAUGGAUCAUUUGCACUGUGUGAACAGCAUGAAAAGCUUAGCUCCAUGGACUCUUUAAUGCUCUUGUUUCCCUUUACUACAAGUUAUCAAAUUUCAAAUGGAAUGGAAGAACAGCUCUGUAGACGGCUGCUGUGAGAGGGAGA